GUCUAUGGUCAUGCCACCCUGAAUGUGCCCGAUCUCGUCUGAUCUUAGAAGCUAAGCAGGGUCGGGUGGGCCUGGUUAGUACUUGGAUGGGAGACCACCUAGCAAUACCAGGUGCUAUAGGCA
rnacentral:rRNA from 1 species